rnacentral:rRNA from 1 species
UGGAUCCAGACUUUGAUCAUGGCUCAGGAUGAACGCUGGCGGCGUGCUUAACACAUGCAAGUCGAACGGAGAACCCUUGACGGAGGCUUCGGACAACUGCGGGGAAUACCUAGUGGCGGACGGGUGAGUAACGCGUGAGCAACCUGCCUUGGAGUGGGGAAUAACAGAUGGAAACAUCUGCUAAUACCGCAUGAAGCAGUUGAGUCGCAUGGCUGUGACUGCCAAAGAUUUAUCGCCCUGAGAUGGACUCGCGUCUGAUUAGCUAGUUGGCGGGGUAACGGCCCACCAAGGCGACGAUCAGUAGCCGGACUGAGAGGUUGGCCGGCCAUAUUGGGACUGAGACACGGCCCAGACCCCUACGGGAGGCAGCAGUGGGGAAUAUUGGGCAAUGGGCGAAAGCCUGACCCAGCAACGCCGCGUGAAGGAAGAAGGCUUUCGGGUUGUAAACUUCUUUUCUGAGGGACGAAGCAAGUGACGGUACCUUAGGAAUAAGCCAUGGCUAACUACGUGCCAGCAGCCGCGGUAAUACGUAGGUGGCAAGCGUUAUCCGGAUUUACUGGGUGUAAAGGGCGUGUAGGCGGGACUGCAAGUCAGAUGUGAAAACCAUGGGCUCAACCUGUGGCCUGCAUUUGAAACUGUAGUUCUUGAGUACUGGAGAGGCAGACGGAAUUCCUAGUGUAGCGGUGAAAUGCGUAGAUAUUAGGAGGAACACCAGUGGCGAAGGCGGUCUGCUGGACAGCAACUGACGCUGAGGCGCGAAAGCGUGGGGAGCAAACAGGAUUAGAUACCCUGGUAGUCCACGCUGUAAACGAUGGAUACUAGGUGUGGGGGGACUGACCCCCUCCGUGCCGCAGUUAACACAAUAAGUAUCCCACCUGGGGAGUACGAUCGCAAGGUUGCAACUCAAAUGAAUUGACGGA